rnacentral:rRNA from 1 species
UACGGGGGGAGCAAGCGUUGUUCGGAUUUACUGGGCGUAAAGGGCGCGUAGGCGGCCAGCACAAGUCAGUUGUGAAAUCUCCGGGCUUAACUCGGAAAGGUCAACUGAUACUGUGCGGCUAGAGUGCAGAAGGGGCAACUGGAAUUCUCGGUGUAGCGGUGAAAUGCGUAGAUAUCAAGCAGAACACCUGCGGCGAAGGCGGCCUUCUGGACGAUGACUGACGCUGAGACGCGAAAGCGUGGGGAGCAAACAGG